AUGCUCGCACUUUCUAUAUGGAGCCGGGAGCGAUUGCUGGUUGGACGACCGAAGAUCGUGAAGUACAAGGAUUGGAACAACCAUGACGACCCACUACGGUACCCCACUUGGGCUUACAAGUGGGAUGUGGUAAAUGAGACGAUGGAUGAUCCCUCAGUCAUGUACAAGUUGUACAAGAGUGAGCUGGACACGAUCACAGCUAAGCAGGUGACUCGAUGUUGUAUAAGUGAUUCUCAUGCUUCUAUCGUAACCCGAAAUCUAUUUUGCAUUUGA
rnacentral:rRNA from 1 species